GACAGAGGUGCCGAGCGUUAGGCGGAAUCACUGGGCUUAAAGCGUGUGUAGGCGGACCCGUCAGUGUCUUGUGAAAUCCCACGGCUCAACCGUGGAACGGCUGGGCAUACUGCGGGUCUUGAGACACCUAGGGGCGAGCGGAACAGGCGGUGGAGCGGUGAAAUGCGUAGAUAUCGCCUGGAACGCCGAGGUGAAAACAGCUCGCUGGGGGUGUUCUGACGCUGAGACACGAAAGCCAGGGGAGCGAACGGG
rnacentral:rRNA from 1 species